GGUUCACCGAUGUAUAUAAUUUGUCGACAUUCCAAUAAUCAGCAUCUUUUGGAAAGUAGGAAUGAAUUAUAUGCACGCAUACAUUCGUCCAAUCUUCUAGAAACUCUGGGUACCUUUGAUAAACAGCGGACUUUAAGUUUGCCUCGAGGGUUUGCUUGUUUGUGGUAGCAGUGCAAUUCAAUACUAGAUUGCCCGCAGGUGCAGAAGAGAUAUAGGAAAGAAUUAAGGAGCAACUUUCAGCAUUCAUUGCCGAGUUUGUUUUACGAAUUGCUAUCAAAAAAGGCCGGAUAACGGUAAUGCGUUUCAAAUACUCAAAAUAUGCCCAGAUCGAUAAAAACCAAAAAAUUUCUUUUUUGAAACCAUGCAAAUUGUAAUGUCUUAGUUUUUUCGGGCAACCUAGGUACUUUGCGCGGAACAAUCUAUUAUGUUCUCUUCACUUUGCACCUUUGACUACCUUGUUGAUGUGAGCUAUGCUAGCACCGAAGUUUUAGUACGUUGGCGAUGGAAGCACACUCGAUGUUGGCGAUAUAACGAAUGAUAUCUGCGAAAUUCCCUAGGCCUCGCUAGAGAUCAUUAUUCGGUAAACAAAAGAAUGGAGUGGGUUUUCAUGAAAUGGACGGAUUCUUUUAAUCGGAAAGAAAUGGGGUGAUAGGCAUAUUAGAAGAUAAUAAUAAUAAUAAAUAAUAAAAAGUUCAUA